rnacentral:rRNA from 1 species
AAUGAACGCUGGCGGCGCGCCUAAUACAUGCAAGUCGAGCGAGAAGACGUAGCAAUACGUUUGUAAAGCGGCGAACGGGUGAGGAAUACAUGGGUAACCUACCCUAGAGUGGGGAAUAACUAGCCGAAAGGUUAGCUAAUACCGCGUACGCUCCUUGGACUUCGGUUCAGGGAGGAAAGCGAUGCCGAGGGUAUCGCGCUCUUGGAUGGGCUCAUGUCCUAUCAGCUGUUGGUGAGGUAACGGCUCACCAAGGCUUCGACGGGUAGCUGGUCUGAGAGGACGAUCAGCCACACUGGCACUGCGACACGGGCCAGACUCCUACGGGAGGCAGCAGUAAGGAAUAUUGCGCAAUGGGCGAAAGCCUGACGCAGCGACGCCGCGUGGGGGAGUGAAGGUCUUCGGAUUGUUAAACCCCC